UAAAAGGCUCUUUUUAGAGCUUUUUAUAUUAUCAAAAAUAAGGAGG
rfam:Clostridium botulinum D str. 1873 CLG.Contig181, whole genome shotgun sequence.